AGCACGCAGGCUUUACCUUCAUAGUGAGCAGCUCUUGUCGCUACUUCCCACUUAAAAUGCCGUAACUUCCGAACCAACAAGAAGGGGAGGUCUUCAGAAGAGAAAAGUCAGCGGGCAAGAGGAACCGGGCUAGGGCUUCUUCGACUUCGUAUGGGUUGGCCAACUUAGAUGGGGAGUUCAAUUUUAUUUGUGACCCUAGGAGGCAUCGGGCGGAAGAGGUUCGGGAUAGGAGAGUUUGGGUUCAGGUGCUAGGGAAAAGAUCCAAUAAGUUGAAUGCUCCCUCCCCUUCUCUCUCUCUCUCUCUCUCUCUCUCUCUCUUGAUUUCAUGUGUGGGCCAAAAGAUUGGGGAAGGGGUCGAAGAGAGAAGGCAGCAGCGAUGUGAGCUUCAGAGGAAGAAGGGAGCUGAGUGAAGUUCUCGCGUGGUUCGCAAAAAAAGGAAGAAGCCCUAAAGGCUUCACGCGCUUGGCUUUUAAUGAUGUAAAGAAGGUGAGGAUCGAGGAGCUGUUGCGAGAUUUAGGCUGAAAUCCCGGAAUGGCGCCAGAUGAACAGUGACAUAGCAGGACUCCUUGCGAGUUUUGCGGAGGGUUUUUUUUUGUGGCGGGAUAUGUGGAUCUGACGGGAUACAAGAUGACGAAGAAUGCUCCAUCUCGAUGGAUUGACGGGAAGGCAAUCGACCUAGGAAUUGCUUAUUUUCUGAUGCUUGUCGCCCUCCUCGUCACUUUUCUUGUUCAUUAGCCACACAUGAUAUCAAAUAUUGGUAAAAAUAUCAAGGAAGCUGGUAAUAGCUUAGGCUGUUUGAUGAUGUAAUUUUGUAAUCAUGUAAUUCAUUCAUUUAUUAAUA